UACGGAGGGUGCAAGCGUUAUCCGGAUUCACUGGGCUUAAAGGGUGCGUAGGUGGGUUGAUAGGUCAGUGGUGAAAUCCCCGAGCUUAACUUGGGAACUGCCAUUGAUACUAUUGAUCUUGAAUACCGUGGAGGUCAGCGGAAUAUGUCAUGUAGCGGUGAAAUGCUUAGAUAUGACAUAGAACACCAAUUGCGAAGGCAGCUGGCUACGCGAAUAUUGACACUGAUGCACGAAAGCGUGGGGAUCAAACAGG
rnacentral:rRNA from 1 species